UACGUAGGCAGCAAGCGUUGUUCGGAGUUACUGGGCGUAAAGGGUGUGUAGGCGGUUCUUUAAGUUUGCUGUGAAAUCUCCCGGCUUAACCGGGAGGGUGCGGUGAAUACUGAGGGACUAGAGUCCGGAAGAGGAGAAUGGAAUUCCUGGUGUAGCGGUGAAAUGCGCAGAUAUCAGGAAGAACACCCGUGGCGAAGGCGGUUCUCUGGGACGGUACUGACGCUGAGACGCGAAAGCGUGGGGAGCGAACAGG
rnacentral:rRNA from 1 species